AAUUGAGAACUUCAUUCUCAGGAGUAUCGUUUGGAGUGGUGGGUCUAGCCAUUGAUGGACUAUCUCACACACAAACGAGCAGGAAGAGAGAGUGAAACGGGCGAAAGAAAACGGCAAAGGAGAAAGGCAAAUGAAAACGGCAAAUGUGAAGUGGGGGAGAGGAAAACGAGAGGCAACUGGCAAAAAAGUAAAUGCAGGAGAUGAGUCUCUGAGACCUACUUGGAUAGAUCUCUCCUUCCCCGGCAACGGCGCCAGAAAUACUUC
rnacentral:lncRNA from 1 species